rnacentral:rRNA from 1 species
CAGUCGCCGCGGUAAAACGUAGGUGGCAAGCGUUGUCCGGAAUUAUUGGGCGUAAAGGGCACGCAGGCGGUGACUUAAGUGAGGUGUGAAAGCCCCGGGCUUAACCUGGGAAUUGCAUUUCAUACUGGGUCGCUAGAGUACUUUAGGGAGGGGUAGAAUUCCACGUGUAGCGGUGAAAUGCGUAGAGAUGUGGAGGAAUACCGAAGGCGAAAGCAGCCCCUUGGGAAUGUACUGACGCUCAUGUGCGAAAGCGUGGGGAGCAAACAGGAUUAGAUACCCCUGUAGUCCCUGUCUCUUAUAC